GACGAACGCUGGCGGCGCGCUUAACACAUGCAAGUCGAACGGAAAGGCCUGCUUUCCCUUGUGGAUUGCGGGUACUCGAGUGGCGAACGGGUGAGUAACACGUGAGUGAUCUGCCCCCAACUUGGGUAUAAGCCUGGGAAACUGGGUCUAAUUCCCGAUAGGACUGCAGGGUGGUGCCUGUGGUGGAAAACGAUUUUCUAGUGGUUGGGGAUGAGCUCGCGGCCUAUCAGCUUGUUGGUGGGGUAAUGGCCUACCAAGGCGGCGACGGGUAGCCGGCCUGGGAGGGUGGACGGCCAGAUUGGGACUGAGGUACGGCCCAGACUCCGACGGGAGGCAGCAGUGGGGAAUAUUGCACAAUGGGCGGAAGCCUGAUGCAGCGACGCCGCGUGGGGGAUGACGGCCUUCGGGUUGUAAACUCCUUUCGACCGCGAGGAAGCCACCUGGUUGGAAGGGUGGUGACGGUAGUGGUAGAAGAAGCACCGGCUAACUACGUG
rnacentral:rRNA from 1 species